rnacentral:rRNA from 1 species
GAUGAACGCUGGCGGCGUGCCUAAUACAUGCAAGUCGAGCGAACAGACGAGGAGCUUGCUCCUCUGACGUUAGCGGCGGACGGGUGAGUAACACGUGGAUAACCUACCUAUAAGACUGGGAUAACUUCGGGAAACCGGAGCUAAUACCGGAUCAUAUAUUGAACGGCAUGGUUCAAUAGUGAAAGACGGUUUUGCUGUCACUUAUAGAUGGAUCCGCGCCGCAUUAGCUAGUUGGUAAGGUAACGGCUUACCAAGGCAACGAUGCGUAGCCGACCUGAGAGGGUGAUCGGCCACACUGGAACUGAGACACGGUCCAGACUCCUACGGGAGGCAGCAGUAGGGAAUCUUCCGCAAUGGGCGAAAGCCUGACGGAGCAACGCCGCGUGAGUGAUGAAGGUCUUCGGAUCGUAAAACUCUGUUAUUAGGGAAGAACAAAAGUGUAAGUAACUAUGCACGUCUUGACGGUACCUAAUCAGAAAGCCACGGCUAACUACGUG